rnacentral:rRNA from 1 species
UACGUAGGGUGCAAGCGUUGUCCGGAAUUAUUGGGCGUAAAGAGCUCGUGGGCGGCUUGUUGCGUCGACUGUGAAAACCCGCGGCUUAACUGCGGGCUUGCAGUUGAUACGGGCAGGCUAGAGUUCGGUAGGGGAGACUGGAAUUCCUGGUGUAGCGGUGAAAUGCGCAGAUAUCAGGAGGAACACCGGUGGCGAAGGCGGGUCUCUGGGCCGAUACUGACGCUGAGGAGCGAAAGCGUGGGGAGCGAACAGG